GCAGAACAGAAGAAACAUGUAAAGGGAAUGAUUUCCUACAUCUGAUGUUUGCAUUAAGACAUGACAUCUAUGAAAACACCAUGGUAAUCAUACCCAUGCACUAACUCAAGGGAGUUUUUGCUGUCUGUCCAAAACUAUCACUUCUACAUUGGUGUCUUUUAUUUACUCUGUAUUUCAUCUAUUCAAAUCUAUCUCAGAGUGAAGCAUUUUAGAUGAGUCCAAGAAAAGGUCACAGAAGUCUUAAAAGGGGUCAAAUAAGAGCUAAGUUGAGACAAAUAAAGAAAAGUUGGUCAAAGUAUGAUAGAAAAAUAAGAAUAUGUCUCCCUUCCAGACUAUGAGCCAGAAGGUUUGCUCAGGCAAACUCAAUGGAUAGGUGAGUUUCUGGACAGAGUCAGGCAUACAGUGGGAAAGACAGGUACCUCAGCAGGAUGGAAUAAAAGCAUAGAUAGGUAGGUAGGUAGGUAGGUAGGUAGGUAGAUAGAUAGAUAGAUAGAUAGAUAGAUAGAUAGAUAGAUAGAUAGAUAGAUAGAUAGAUGAUAGAUAAAUAAUGCUAUCAUGGUUUCUUGAAUGACGCUCUUUCAAGGGAAUGUAGUUGUGGACGGUGAGAGUUGGUUGCAGGGACAGACCAAGAAAGAAAUUCAGACCUGAUGUUAAAUUGUCCUGUGUUCUCAAGAACUCAAUGAAAUAAGUGUUGCCAGAGGGGAAGUAGCUAAAUUUUAAAGACAACUUGCUUAUACUGUCCUAUGAAAUUUACUGAAGCCCUAAUAUCAGCAGAGGUUAAAAGGUAAGAUUCUGCCUGCUGAGCUGGUUCAUUUAGCAUAUAUGCCAAACUAAAUAUUUGCCACAAUCUUUUACCAAAUUCAAAUGAGCACUGUAUCAUUCCAAGAGCAAAGCUUUGGUUUGUCACCACCUGUCUUUUGGGACCUCAUAAAUAUUCCAUCAGAAUGUUCUGUCUGGUGAAAAAAAAAAAGUGAUUGAUCCAUUUUGUGUUUAAAAAUGUAAGCCAAAGUGCUCAAACCUGUCAAAUCCCUUUGUAUAUGUAAGUGCAGUGUCCUUGGGUUGUUUCAACUUUUGCCAUUUUUUAUUAAGCCCAAGCAGUCCCUCUCUCGUUUUCUGACACAAGAAUUGUACCUGGACUAUGUUAUUUAAACUGAAGGCAUUUUCUGAUGGCAGAGGAGAGUGUAUGCUAAGUCACCUUUGCUUGUGGGUAUCUCCAACUUUUUACCUCCAAACUAGAACUCAGAAUCUGUUAUGUCCACUUUGUAAGAGUAGCCCCAUCUGAUGAUAAGAGUAGCCAAAAAGACAAGAGAUAACACAUUUCUAUCUCAUUUCCAUUUUCCCGAAAGCCUCUCUGAACAUAUGCAUUAGAGCUGUCAGUCUUUAUGUGCUGCAAGUUCAGCAGAUGAUUGCUUUCAUCUUGGGACAUGCCAAGCACACAGGGUUGUUCAUCUCUGUGUUCUUUUCUUGUGGACCAUUUUAAUAAAUAACUAGAAUUUUGGAGCAUGCAGCGUAUGGUUCAGCUGCCUCCACCAGCUGUCUUAUGAAUAAUGUACAUGCCUUUGAUUUACUUUCUAUCUGCUGUGUUACUGCAGUAAAUUUUGAAGGCAAUGCUGAUGUAGACUUAGUCCUACUUAACCAUGUUCAAACUUCCAAACCUCACUACACAAGCACUGCACACUGUGUUUCACUUCUUAGCAUGAUUUUGACAUUGCCUCUUGCAUUCUUGUUACUUGGGAAAAGGAAAAACUGGUAAAAAUCUGAUCUUGGGUGAAGAAAAUGGAAACAUAUUUAUUUAGAAACUGUGCCAUACUUUCAUACUUCAAAUGUUUCCAGAAUUCUUUAGUAUAAUGGUCUGUUGCAUGUUUGAUGAGUAAUAUGAUUUGAAUAUUGCCGUGUCAAAAGUGUGUGAUUGUUAACUUCAGUCACUAGAUGGCCUUUGAGUGUGCAAAAGCUCCCUGAGUGCUAUUGGAAAACUAUAUUUUUAGCUAGAUCAUUAACUUUGAAGGUUUUCACUUUAAGCCAUUCCUAAACCUGUCUUUAGUAGCUUGAGCUGAUAUUAAGUGCUUAUUUGCAAACUUUUGAGAAAUGGCAAAAUAGCAGCUUAAUGAUAAGAGUUAAAAUAAUAAAACAAAAGAGAAACUAGACUGUUGUGGUUUUUUUUUAUUAUUUAAACAGGAUUUCUCUUUGCAUCAGCCUUUCCUAUGUGUCCUUAAAAUGGUCUUCCCCAGUUCACAUUUGUGAGGAACGUACAGGAAGGAUACUUCACUGGGUAAAGUAGAGGGUCAGAAGCUGUAGAAAUAUUGCCCUCCCUUUCUGAAGGAAAGACUUGAUGCUGGGUAUUACUCACAUCAGAGCAUGUGCUAAACACUCCUGCUUCUUGGGAGCUGCCCUGUGACUAGCUGGAAUUUUUGAGCUACAGCUUGGAUCUGUUCAUUUAUUGUUUCUUACAUCUGUUUCAGGGUGAAUGUAUACCCUUUUGCAGUGCAUCACAUGCUGUUACCUGUGUGGGGGACAGCACAUCAUUCUUCAUACAGCAGCAGAUUCACAGGUUGUACUGCUGUUAUGGUGGAACUUUGAAGAAGAGAAGCAGAUGUGUGCACUCUGCUGCAGGCAGACGUCCUAUCUGGGACUAUUUGCAUCACAUGGAGGAUUUGCUUUUAUUAAAACCUGUCUUUGGGGAAAAUAAUGAAUGGCAGAGUCUCUUGAGAUAUGCUGCAAUGUAUGCCUAAAAGCUGGAAUCUUCUACCAUAUCUUUGUCAAGGGUA